UGCUGAUCAGUGCGGAUGUCU
rnacentral:miRNA from 1 species